UGUGGCUAUGGUUGAGGUCAUCAGCAUCGGUAGCGGCAACCGUGCCCGCGUUCCACGCGCCAUACAUUUCAGGCCCGGCGACCAACAGCCACCAUGGGGGACGAGUCAGCGAUGUCCGAGAUGUCAGGGACGUCAGGGAUGUCAGGGAUGGAAUCGUCGACCACGGACGGUA